UUUUUGUAUCUUCUUGAUCGUUUUCACUCUUCUCCUCCUUGUUGGUGCUUAAAUUAUCAUGCGCAGAAAUUUGAAGUCUUGUGAAAAAGAAAAAACCAAUCUGUUGUGCAUGUUAAGAGGAGAUAUAAGAAAAUUCUUAGCAAUCUAUGGUUUUUUUUCCUCGAAAAAGAAAAGAAAAAAUAAUAAUUAGCAUCUUCCUUUGGCUACAGUGGGCGAAGAAAUGGGUACAAUAGUCUAAAUUACCUUCCAUUCCUAUAAAACAUGUAACAAAGUGCCCUUGUUUUGAUAUUGCUGUUCUGUUUCUCCAAUAUUUAAAUUUGUGGUCUGUAACUUCCUAAUAACAGUUUUUUUCUUUUUUUUCUUUUCCCUGGGCCUGUGUAAGACGCUUCUGUUAGCAUACUUUCUUGUUUCUAUGGUUGUGUAAUUCGUCUAUUUCUUGAUUAUUUUCAGGUAAAUGCUGCAGCAGAAAUAAUUUAUGACCUUGUCGAUCCAAGUGCUAAUCUAAUAUUUGGAGCUGUGAUCGACCCAUCACUCAGUGGUCAAGUAAGUUGACAAUCUCCUAAAUCAUACUGCGCUUAUUUGGGAACUGCAACGAACUUUAUCACUAAAUGGGAGAAAGGCCUUACAGUAUCAAUUUGUAGUAGGAUAUAAAUUUAGGAACCUAAUUGAAAGUAUAACAAUGUAAAAUAUCACUGAUCACCGAGUUUAGCGGUAGGAUAAAAACUUGACUAUUCAUCUCAAUGCAGGUGAGCAUAACUCUCAUUGCUACCGGCUUCAAACGCCAAGACGAAUUGGAAGGCCGAACCGCAAAGGUAUAUAUGCCUUCGCUUGUUGUCUGCUAACUUAAUUUUAGCGUCAGUCCUGUUUAGUAAAUCACGUCUCUUAACAAACGGCUCGCAGGGAGAUAAUAUCGGGAUAAACCGGCGGCCAUCUUCAUCUUCCACUGAAGAGAACUUUGUGGAGAUCCCCGAGUUUCUGCGGCGAAAGGGACCUUCUCGCUUUCCACGAGUUUGAUAGGUUUAUGUUCUUGUAUGUAUUUGUUUCUUCUUGUUCUGUCCCAGCUCUUGUAAUACAAUAUAAUCUUCUCUCAUACCUUUCCCUGUAAUUUUUCCUCUUUUUUAUCCAUAUAAAAUAGACACAGUGCUUGUUGUCGAGGUUAUGAACAAGUUCGAGUACCACCAAGCUGUUUCUGAUGCAGUUGUUUCUGAUAAUGAAACAUUCUGUGGAUGAAAAUGAUUAUUCCAACCAGUCAUGUAGCUUUCAUUCCGCACCUCAUUCAACUAAAAUUGCAUACAUUGUAGAGAUUGCUUUUCUAUGACAUAUUGCAUGAUUAACCUUGUGAAUUAAUUUGUUCAUACUUGCAUGCAUGGCACGUUAUUCUUGUAUGCAUUGAUGUAUAUACAAGGCCUAAAGGUUUUUGAUUGGUUGAUGAAUGCUAUAUAACAUAUAACAUGCCAUGAUCUGCCAAUACAUUAAUAACAUUAUUAGUAUCUAUGUACGGUUUUGUAAUUCGUUGAUGCAGGAUUAUCUUGUUAUUUAUCAUUAAAUUGUUCAUCUUGUCUUAUUUACUAUAUGCCCUCGCUGAGUUGGACAAUGUAGGUCGAUCUUGUCGUUUAUUAUUAAACUGUUUAUCAUGAUUCUAACAUAUUCGGUCGCUACGUACACAGAUUUUGUGACACUGACUUAUUGGCACUGGCAUGUAGUGUAUGAGAAGUAAAUAAAGAAUUAAUUUAGUGGUACAGAGACUUUUCCAUCUUGGAGCAGAAUAUUCUGAUUAUCCAAACAUAUAAUUUGAACACCAAUAAAGACAGUGUCAGGUUGCUGACGUGUAGUCGUUCCCGUCAAUUAUUGCCUGGUCUGUAGCCGGUCUAUUAAACUCCAAAUGCUAUAAAUUCAAACUAUAUUACUUAUUAAAAUACUAGCACAACUAAUUAAAAAAAAAGCUUUAAAUCGUUACAUAUGAUUUUACAACACCUAAAAAUGUGCCUAAACAAAGUAUAAUUUUUAAUAUCUUUAGUAUAACGAACAGUAAUUGUUUUAGCCCACUUAAAAUUUGUAUUCAAAUUUCAAAAUUUCUCCCAUCCUACGUAAAUUCCACCAAUGACAGUGGGCCUUGCGCAAAUACGAAGGCGAAGAUCCUCUGCAUCAUAUGACGUACAAUAAUUAAUGCUAAAAUAAUAAUAUAAUAAUAUCCUUCUUACGUUCUCUCGACCAGUUUAAUUUUUUAAAUUUAAUAAGCAAAACUAACCAAUUACGUUUCUGGAAAAUUGGUGUCGUACCAAUUUUCUACAACCCGAUUUGCAGCGAACGUGCUGAACCGUCAAGCAAGUGGCGGGGUGGGCCAUGAGAACGGCGGGCCCGGGUCCAAACUGCCUAUAAAUAUCCAACCCUUCCUCACUCUCCUCACUCACUUUUCCGUUUCUGUUGUGCUUUGGAGCGAGCGCGCGACGACGAUGGCUCUCGCUGCUCGUUUCUUCCUCUUCUCCUCCCCUCGCUCUCUCUCCUCCUCCGCUUCCGCUUCGCUCCCCCCUCUCCCCCGCUCCCCCACUCCCCACCUAGGGUUAGUGCUUCGCCGCUCCCGAUCCGACCGCCUCGAUCUCCCCGACGCCUCUCUCUUCUCCCACGGAUCAAUCUCCCAUGGCGGCGGAUCACUCCCUCGGAAGAUCCGCUGGUAAGUGAUCGUUCAUUUAUUUCGUUCAUGAGCUCGGAUUUGUGUUUCUACGGUUUCUUCUCAAGCAUUUGUGAUCGAAUGAGGUGUGAUUGCUUCGUUCUCUCUGGUUUCUUUACUUCGUUGCUCUUUGGUGUAUGGAGACUCUUCGAUCGGUGGUUCUGAUUCUAUUCUUGUUCGAUUGGGUUAUUGAUCGCUUAGAAUAAGUUUUCUUAUCUGGUUACUGUGGAGUUAGGCCUUUUCAUGUCCUUUGGCAUGCUUCUUCGUUACUAAUUGUGCACUUGUCAUCCGAAGGUCGUCUCGAUUUGAAGAAUUUAUUUGAUUAUAUUGAUUUUAUUGAUUUUAUCUCUUGAUUGUUUUACGGUUGAAGGUUUUCAGAGAUGUUUACAUUCUUUGUUUCAUCGAGAACUUCUGUUUGUGUACGAGAGAUUUCUCUAGCUGGUUGAGAUAACGUUUUGCGGACGAUCGGAGUGCUACAUCGCAUUUUAUGUGUUAAUUAUUGCAUAUAUUGCAUGUCGGCAGUUCAAUUAGUGUUCCUGACUAUAUCUUGAGAGAAUAAUGCAGGAUUGGUCCUCAAUUUUCUGGCAAUUCGGCAGAAACAUUGGGAUCUUCCUCCUCGGUAUGCAAUGGAUCGUCAGUAUUAUCUGUUGUUUGUUUGUCAGAGCAAUUUAUUUCCUCAUGGUUAGAUUAGUUGAACUACUAGAUCAUAAUUAUCAUCUUGGCUAUUUUUUUUCCUACUAUAUAGGAUCAGCUAGAGAAGAACAACUCAAACUCGAACGUUCUAUAGAAGAGUUGCUUGAUUUACACUAUUCGGUCAACCUGUUUUUGACCCUAUAGGAAAUUGUAUGCUGCUUUAGUUUUUGAAUUUUAUCAUAUAUCCAAAGACAGCCUAUGGUGUCACUGUUUGAAUUUGCACAAUUAAUGUUCCUAAGAAACUAAAGAAGAUCUGAAACACAUACUAACAAUUGAAACACAUGAUUGUAUGAUAAGUAUCACUUCCAAUGGCCGGUGAUGUUCAUGUAAGUGUUUAUUUAGUACUGACUGGAUAUAUUACCGAUUGGAUAGCCAUAGAUAUGAUAUAAAGUUAUGGAUUGAUCUUGUAUUUGCUGUUUAUACUUGUGGAGAAAUCAUUAGUUGAAAUCUAGAGAUAACUUUGAGAAAACUUGUGAAGUGAAUAGUUCAGUUGGUUUUAAUGGUUAAACGGAACCAGUUCUAAUUAGUAACGCUUGCUUGUAUGUCCUCACUUUAUCUAGCCAUUUUAGCAGCAUCCUUUAGUAGUAGUAGUUCGGAUUUUUAUAUGGAAAGGGUAAAAUGAUUCCUGUUUUCUAAUGUUACAUUCUCUCAGGAACCUGACGAGGAUACUGAUUCAGUUCCAAUGCCGAUAGUUUUGAUCGAUCAAGAUUCAGAUCCUGAUGCAACAAUCGUUCAGCUCAGUUUUGGGGACCGUCUAGGGGCACUACUUGAUACGGUGAAGUUGCUCUUUGUCAUUUGUUUCUAGCUGAAGAAACUUGAUAUAGUGAAGUUACUCUUUGUCAUUUGUUUCUAGCUGAAGAUACUUGAUAUGGUGAGGUUACUCUUUGUCAUUUUUCUCUAGCUGAAGAUACUUGACACGGUGAAGUUACUCUUUGUCAUUUUUCUCUAGCUGAAGAGAUACCAAUUUGUUCGGUUAUUUUUCUUCAACUGCAUUCCAAAUAUUUGUCCUACUACAGAAGGAAAAUAUGUAUUAUUUUCCAUUUGACAUUAGAAGAAUCUUUUGUAGCAUAUUUAGGAAAUGCAACUUCUGAAUACCUUUUUUCAAUCUUCAAUAUGUUGUUGUUCAAUUGAUUAGGACAAUGUGAAAUUCUUAGAUCUUGGUUCCCUGGUCUUCAGAUGAAAGCACUCACAGACCUGGGACUUCAUGUGACCAAGGGAUCUGUGACAGCUAAUGAAUUUGUUGUGCGGACAAAGUUUUUUAUCACGCAGAUGUGAGUCUUUAUACAUUUUUUUUUUUGCUUUUUUUCGUUAACUUAUCUUAAUAAUGUUUAUUCUUCAUUUGAAAUGUUCUAAAGAAAGUUGGAUCUGUCGUACCUUUAUUAGUUUGCUUUGUAUAUACCAUUUGAUUUCUUAAAAUUCAUGUGGUGAGUGUGCCUAGAAUCGUCAGUAUAAAAGAGUUCUUACUACACACAUAAAAAUGGCUGUGUAAUGUGGAUGUAAUCUUUAAUGUUAUAUCCCAUAGGAUUAUUACUUUAGAGAAUCUGAACGUAAGUAUGUCAACAUUCCAGGGGGCGAAAGAUUGUAGAUCCUGACAUAUUGGAAAGAAUUCGGCUUACCAUAAUCAGCAACCUGCUGAAGUAUCAUCCAGUACGCUUUUAGUGACGCUGCUGGUUCUUUGAAAAGCUAUAUGUAGGUUGCAUUACUUUUAAUUGUCUGUAUUUUCAUCUAUCUGCAGGAAUCCAGUGAGAAGUUGGCAAUGGGUGAAAUAUUCGGAAUAAAGCCUCCAGUGAAGGUAAUUAGUUCUAAUAAUUCAGCAUUUCUCUCAUUUUCGUUAGUUUAACUAUACUGAUGGAAAGCUGCUAUUAUGUCUGUGAGAUCGUAUCCUAUGUUCAGGAGUUUUGUUCUGUUCUAGCUUUAAGCAAAAAUAGAUGAUUAUUACUUAUCUCUUGUUCAUUUGGUAGAAAAACUGAGAGUUAACACUGGGUAAUGAUUUCUGGACAUUUGGCCCUAAAAUUGGAUGUUUACAUGAUAUUCUCUUUUAAUCUCUUGAUUGGCAGCUUGAUGUUGAACUUGCAACACACAUACAUCUGGAACAUGAUGGACCCAAAAGAAGGUUUGUUACAUUUCACACUUCUAUUCUUUUAGCUAUGCAUUUAUGAUCAUAAAGUCUAAUAUGGGUACAGACACCACUAUAUUUAGUUGUUUGAGAAUGAGCUAUGACCAGAAGUUCUUGAUUACUUUCAUAUGAACUAUUUCAAAUUUCCUUUCACUUCUUUAGCUGUAAGUUGUCAUGGUAGUCAUCUGAAUCUGCUCUAAGGUUGGAAUGCCAUUCUAUACCAGCAACCGGUUAUGUUAGUAAAGUUAAAUCCUCUAGAUAACGUCGUGGGCAUUUAGUUCUACAUACCUGCAGAUUUCAGUGUGUAUCUUAUCAAGCUAUUUCAUAUUCACUUAUAGCAUAUUUCUCGACUGCUUUAUCACACUAUGACAUGUGUCAUUUACUCGGGCAGUCGCUAGCGUUUGAAGUCAUAAAAAUAGGGAACUGUGUGGAGGCCUAAAUGAAACAUGAAAACAGAGGCGAAUGUCAAAUUCAUACUUAGAUUUCAUAAUGUAUAUCAUUUACAGCGAGGAAAAAGCUGGUUUUUCCUCAUGUCAAGGCAACUUUGAAACACAGAAAGUCAUGUGUUUUCUUUUUUUUUUUUUCAUAGGCCGAAGGAAGUAAUUAUUUUGCUUUGCAUGUAUUCUCCAGCUUGCUUUACAUUGAGACAGCUGAUCGACCUGGACUACUGCUCGAGAUCAUCAAAGUUAUAACAGAUGUAAAUUUAGAUGUGGAAUCAGCUGAAAUAGACACCGAAGUAUGUUUGCUUCUGAUUUCUCUGUUCAAAAACAAGGAUAUUCCACAAGCAUUUUUUGUCAUUCUUAAUUAUUGUAAUUUGCAGGGUCUCAUAGCUAAGGAGAAGUUCCACGUGAGCUACAGAGGCGCGGCAUUGACCGACCCCUUAUCUCAGGUCAGGUUAUCUUAUCUUAUAACUAGUUCUUUCAACUUCGUUUUUACAGGGAAUAAUUAUAUGGUUUCCAUUAUGAGAGAGUUGAUGUUGCUAUGAUUACUGUAGACAACAUCUAAAACAUCUCUUAAGUUUGAUCAAGAAGUGGACAAUUUGAGCUUUACAUUUUUUUUUUUUCUUGGCAUAAUUUUAAGGGGCUUGUGUUGUCUCAGCUGCUGGUUAACUGUCUCCGCUAUUACCUCCGAAGGCCUGAAACGGAUGAAGGCAGCUACUGACACAGUACCUCAGCAAUUCAGUAACACAAAUGGAAGGAUCCAAGAAUUUUAAGCAGGUCAACUUCCAUUCUUCCCUUAAAGAAACUGAUUUCUGUAACUCCUUACCACGUAUCUCACCUUCUUACUUUUUACAACAUGUGUUCGAUUCGGAUUCUGAUCUUACCUAGUAACUCUCAAUUGUUGGACAUUGUUUACACCGAUUUAGGAGCUAGCUGAAAGGCUUUUGCCAUUGGCUGCUUCUGGAUGUAACAAUUGUUACAUUUCAAUUCAAUUGUUGGUAAAUGAUGGGCCAUAGUUUUAAUUCGCCUCCAUUUGAAGUAUUGUUUGUAAGUCUGAGCAAACAGAGCGUUAGAAUAGCCUCUUCUGUUUGUUGGAGUUGGGUGGGCCAUCGGCAAAACGGAAACCUUAACCUCUGCAUUCCCUGCGUAGAAUGUGGAGUGGGCACUUGUGCCUAUUUGAAUUUGUUGAGCUAUUAGGCAAGAUACUGCCUUGCCUAUUUGAAUUUGUUGAGCUAUUAGGCCAGAUACUGCCUAAGAUCUGUUCCUACAGGAAACCCAAGUUAGUGCUAUUGCCAAUUGGUUGCCGAUCUCUGAUUCAUGCCUAUAGUUAUCGAUCUAAGAUUAUAGUGUGUUGAUUGAGAAAGAGCUUAAAAGUUUCAAUAGCUAUAACCUGUUACUUUUGUUAGAAUUCUGUUUUUUGCUUGUGUAGUUUUGUAUAUUCCCAGGAGGAGGUAGUCCAAGUGAAGAUGUAGGGAGCACUUUAUCAACCUGUUGUUUAAUAGUUAAUUAAAUGCGUAGUCCAAAGGAAAAGAACCUUCUAAUUUUCAUAAAUAACAAAAACUUCAUUUUUUUAAGAUCCUUAGUUAUAAGUAGGUAGAAGCAGAAUAUUUUACAAUGAUAUUUUUGCUUGGCGAAAAACAUGAAAUAGAGGCUAACUGUGACCACAACUUCAGAAUCAUAUCUGUCUAGUAGUUGCAUCAAACUCUUCUAGCUUAGUUAUUGGGAGUGGAGUAGAAUAGAGCGUAGAGCAUCUCAUUCCAAGCAUCUGGGACUCCCGGCAAGCACCAGUGGCAACAAUCGGAAACCAGGAAUUCGGUAUUGCUAUGCUGCUCUUGCCCGCCAUGAGCCCUCGUGGCGUAGAUUGAAGGAUGACCGUCCUGACGGAGAGCCGCCAUGCUCGUGAUUUCUUGGAGGUACACUGGAAAGAUCAUCUUCUUCAACACUUCCCUCAGCACCACCAGCUGCCCCGCAACACGCUGGCUGUGGCCCAAGUACGCCAGGGGUUCCCUCUGCUUGUAGCAUUGCCACCCGUUUAUCCUAUUUAACCCAGCCACCCCAUUAAUGACUUUAGUUACUACUCAAUAGUCGAUCAGAUUCUAUAUGACGAGUGUCUUGUACCUGUUGUGGCGCGGCGACGAGCUUCGGAAGAUGACCGUAGCUCUUCGAGGGUCUAAAUUCAGGUCCACCCACUUAGCCCAAGUUGUUAGACCCUUCUCAUACGCAACCAUAGGGUUCAGAUUUGUGAAUACCCUUCCCCCUUCCUCGUAAAAAUCCCACCUUCCAAAGCCCAGAAAAUUUACUAUUGUGUUAUUUUGUUAUUCAUUAUCUACGGCCUCCUUCAUUGAUAGAUUCAUCAAGGAAAACAGAAAAGAGAGUAGAAAAAAUAAUAAUAAUAAAUUAGGUGAGACUAGAAAUCUUAUUACGAGCUCCAUUUUCCGGAGUGAGUCCACCAGUGAGCAGAAUCGAACACAAGGACAUCGACCCCACGCCAGUGCUUUGCGUUCUCUUCAAUGCAAUCCAAGCACAGGACUCUCUUGUUCUCCUCUUCUUCCUUCAAUUCGACUAAAAGAGGAGCCCAUGAGAACUCAAUGGACGCCUCAAAAUCCUGCAAUCAACCCACACAUCAUUUGUUACCUCUGUUUCGAGAUGUAAUUACCAGAUCGAGCUAGUAGUAAACUUAUACCUUGGCCUGGAAUGCUAUGGUAGAUGGGCCAUUGGAAUAAACCAUUUUUCUCUCAUUGGGUAUUACUGCUUCUACUAAGCAAACAAGGGAUUCCCAUUGAUUCCUCAUUAUAGAAUCCCCCACCAGCAUCACCCUUUUCCCUCUGAUUCUGUUGAGGAAAUCCAGUGCAUUGAACCUAAAGAUACGCACCACUUUGGUUAGCCGAGUCGCACCACAUGAUUUUGAGCUUCCUAGGCACUAACGAGAAGUCCUUUCUUUUUGCUAUAAAAAUAAAAGAAUUUAGUUUAGAGCUUUUGCUUUUAAGAUUCAGAACCUUAUUUUUUAACUCCCAACCGCCGCCAAAAAGUUCAAGACUUUUCUUAAUGAUAAAGUUAUUAAUAUAUAGAAUCACCCAUGUUUCCCAUGUUUCCGUAGUAAAAAUUAUUUAUCCAAUUAUUAAUUUUUUAUUUCUCAAAUACUUGACUAUCGAAGAGAAGCUGCUCUUGAAACUAGGCCAAAUAGUUCCGCCGCCGUGGAACUAUGUUUACCUCGGAAUAGAGCAGUGCUGUGGCUUCCACCGCCACCUCUGGUAGUCGGAAUCCGGCCGGCCAUUGAGCUGACAGCUGAAUUGAGUACUAAGGUAGGGGCAGCUGGCUUCAUAGAGAGGAUACGACGCGUCGAACACCCACUCACCAAUCGACAGAUCGCAGUCGGUCGCAAACGGCGGCUGGUUCUGAUUAAUCUUUUCGAUCGCGUCCUCUUUCUCUCCUCCCCACCUGAAAUUGUCCAUGGUUAGGUGAUCAGAUAGAGAAGCUCUUGCCAUUGUGAAGAACACAUUGGUGAGGCAUAAGAAGAAGAAUAGUGAUGUUGGGUGGAGGUUUAAUUCUCUAGCCAUUAACUGGCAAUGGACUGAAUUAGAUUGGAUGUGGGGUGCAAGUGAGCUUUGUUUAGAUGAAUCGUAAGCUUGUUUUAUAUAGUUGGAGGAUGCAUGGUUACUGCUUUUGUUCAUUAUAACUGAUGAGGCGCCGAAACUUGCGGGGAGACGUGGAGUUUUUCUUUUUGCUCAUCCCCGUGAUGCAAAGGAAUUGAGAUGUCUUGUUUUCUUAUUGAGUGUGUUGGCCACGAGCACACCAACAUGGCUGGGUAGAGAGAGAGAGAGAGAGAGAGAGAGAGAGAGAAAAGAAGAAGCACUUUUUGUUGGGCAUAGAGAAUUUUUCUGCACCCAUCAAUCAUUGUUUACUAAAUAUUUGCAGUCCUAGGAAACGUUCUGGUAGAACAAAACAGUACGAAUCUGACCAACUUUACCAUAUGAACACUAACCACUGUUUAUCCCUGAUUCCUAGAACAGCUUCCCUACUGGAAACUUGCAACCCAUGUACCCGAAAAGCUAUACCAAAAUUUAUUAUCAAAAUUUUCAAAUAAAAAAAAAUGUAUUUGUUAUAAGGGGUAAAAUGAAAGUGUUCAAUUUAAGCAAUAAUUUACUACAAUUUUUGCCUGGCUCCUGAGUUUUUAUGCACUCUCGAAUCACAAACCAGCCCAUUUCCUCCUUCCAACCUCUCUCUCUCCCUCUAUCUCUGUUCUUUUGAACCUUCAAUAAUGUAGUUAGUCAUCGAAUUAAAUGCCAUAUUGAACACAAUUAAGAUAUCUGGAAUUACAAACAACAAACUCAGAAGUCGUAAAUCUUAUUUGCUUAAUAAAUAUGUUUGCGAAUAACAGUCAAAUCAAGCGCUUGGUCACAAAUUUAGAUUUUAAGCAUCUGAGGGCUCCUCUCCAAGAAAAAGUGCCUUGAGGAUUUUAUCAGUCCAUUCUUCGAUUAACAUGAACAAAUGCCCGCCUUUGCUGUUCUCGUGAUAUCGUAUCCAAGGAAGCUUCUUUGAUAUGUAGCGCUGCAGCUCGGCCGGUAUCAUCCUAUCUUCUCGCCCUUGCCACAGGUGAACAGAUCCCUCAUUGUUCGGAAAUGGGUUGGUUAUAUUCAUCGGGUCGAACUCCCAUGUGCCAAAUGCUAUCAGAUAGUCUCGGUGGAUCGAUUCGUAUUCGCCUUGUUGUCUCGCUUUGUUCUGGAACAAAAACAUGGUAAGUUGCAACUGUCAUUCAUCUCUCCUUCUCAAGGAAAUGUUAGUUUGCAUUUAUACGAGCAUCGCAAUGUUUAGGUGAUCAAGACCCUAAGUGUGAUUUUGGUCGGUGACGCUUACCUCGGUGGUAAGCAUUGGCAUCGCCAUUAUCUUCUGAAAGAUCUCCUUAUCUUGCUUGCUGAAUAUGUCAGGGUGCAUUGUGGCUGAAGCUGAUGCGGGAAACCACUUUUGGGUCAUCCACCAAUGGAAGAGGAAAGGUAUGUGAUGUGCAACCCAUAGAGCCCUCUGUUCUUGCGCAAGUAUUUUGCCGAACCCCUCUUUAGCUAGCUCGGUAGGGAAAGAUGGCCACCAGUAGUUGAUCACCGGCACCACCAGUGCUGCUCCAGCAAGCCUACAUUCCGAAUGUUCGCGAGUUUAAAAUCGAUCUCUCUAACAUGUUUUCUAGGAAAGAAUGUGUUCGGACUUCUAAAGUUAAAAAUUCUUUCCAUCAGGUUACAUGGCAGCAGAAACAGAAGCAGUUUCAGAUUAGAAUAAAAGUUUCUAGCAUCUAGAUAUAGAACCAUAUAGUUGGCUUCCUAGCCUGUGUCGGCAGGCAAACUGAAACCUCUUAGCCACCAUUGGAAAUUCUAAAUUCUACUUUUUUUGACCCAGAAGCUUAUUUCAACGUACUGCCGUAGAAACUCUGAACGUCUUAUUUACCAAAUUUCCAGGUGUUGCUUUCUAAAGCAAGAGAGGCUUUUCUCAUUAGCUUGUCGGCCGAACAGGCCUUCAGUAUCAGAAAUAAAUUUCUUUUCCGAGAGAUCGAAAAUAGCGAGCUGUAAGAUACAAGCUGUUUGUUUCUCACCUGUGAGGUAUGUAAUUUAAGCACCCCCACACUGGGUGACCUCCCAUGGACACUCCCAUCACAUAGAACUUGGACCCAAUCUCCAAUUGAUCCGCGAGCUCUUCUAUAUCCAUAGCAUCACUCCUCACGCUUCGCUUCGGAUUCGGAUCACUCUCCCCAUAUCCUGGCCUAUCGAAUUGAAGAAAAUAUAUCCCCAGAUCCUCCACAAGCUUCUGUUAAACACAACAAUGUUCUAAUGUUAGUUAGUAGAGAAAACAAUUAAAGCCUUAACAAAAUAAUUAGGAACUUAAAAAAAAAAAAACAAAAGAAAUCUCGAAUUUUUACUUGAGAUGCAGGUAUAAGAAUGUCUUUGGUAGCAUCAAGUCCAUGAACAACUAUGAGUUUAAACUUGGCUUUCUCCUUGGGCACUCCUGCUUCUUUGUAAGCUAGGUAUCUUCCAUCUCUGAGCCUGAUCCUGGGGGAUCUAACAGGGGGGCCAUUUUGCGAACCGCAAAGUGUCGGAGGGGGAGGUCGCAAAAUCGCGUGAUAACCCCAGGCUAGUGAAAUGAUCAGCAGGGCCAACAAUAUUCCUGGGAAUCGCAUAGUCUCUCAAUCUAAGUUAAUUUUGAGUAGAUAUUACUCAUUAGGAUCAGUAGUUGCUUUAUACAUGCAUUAUUGCUAGCAGGUACUUCAAUAGUUUUCUAUACAUGGAUUAUUGGUAGCAGGUAGUAGUGCUACUUUUCUUUUUUCCUUUUCAGUUAGGGCCAUCUCUUUCAGAGUUUUCUGGUUGUGGAUGCAAAUAGGGCAGAUCUGAAGGCGAGAGGGUCCCCCACCUCCCGUCAUCUCUUUUUUUUCUUUGGCAAGUCGGAACGAAUUUUGGGCGGAUUUGAUUCUAUCAUAUUUUUUUGUUUUUACUUAUUGUUUCAUUCGAACUGGUUGGAGCGGAUGCGAAUUUUUAGCAGACUAUAAUGGAGCAAAGGAAGAAAUGGGUCUCAUGCUUCCUACUCUAUUUCUUAGCGAAUUGUUGUGGCAGAUUUAGAACAAAUUAUUUUUUUUCUUAUUUUUAGCUUCUAUUUUUCAUUCUAUUCGGAACGGAUCGGGACAGAAUCUCCAUCAACCCGGAUCCAUUAGCAUUCCUAUUUCUAAUAUAGUGUUAGGUUCGAAGAUUUAUAUUUCGAGAAUAGUGAAAAACAUCUCAAUAAAUAAUAUCCAUAUAUUGCUAUCUUCAGAAUAAAGAGUUUUUUUUUCUUUUUUUUUUAGAGAAAGAUAACAAGUUAUUCGUUUCGUUCGCUUUUUAUAAAUUAACUUAGCUAGAAAUAUAAAGUAAAUAAACUUUAAAUACAGAAUCUCAAAUAUCAUUACUUAAUUUUUUUUAAUCAAAAGACUUAUUUUUUCUACCCAACUCUCAGCGGAGGUAGUUGGUGACUCCGAUGUGACUGGUACAACAACAACUUCUCAACUUACUAACUGUUAUGGUCCCUGUACCAGUAGUACAUUAAUUACUUUUCAACUUCUGACCGUCCUUAGCGUAAGUGGUAAAAAAUUUAAUGAUUGGUAUAUUAGGUCCCAAAUUCGAAUCCUAGUUAAUUUAUAUUUCUAACUAAAUUUAUUUUUAAAUAAAAUAAACGAAGCGGGUAGCAUACUACCUAUUUUUUUAAAAAAAAGAAAUUACUUUUCGACUUA
rnacentral:lncRNA from 1 species